AGGACUAUUGUCCUUGGAUGUGGCGUAAAGCUGAACGAGAGG
rnacentral:ncRNA from 1 species